rnacentral:rRNA from 1 species
AACGAACGCUGGCGGCAGGCUUAACACAUGCAAGUCGAACGCACCUUUCGGGGUGAGUGGCAGACGGGUGAGUAACACGUGGGAACGUACCCUUUUGUUCGGAAUAACCCUGGGAAACUAGGGCUAAUACCGGAUACGCCCUAACGGGGAAAGGUUUACUGCAGGAGGAUCGGCCCGCGUCCGAUUAGCUAGUUGGUUGGGGUAAUGGCUCACCAAGGCGACGAUCGGUAGCUGGUCUGAGAGGAUGGUCAGCCACAUUGGGACUGAGACACGGCCCAAACUCCUACGGGAGGCAGCAGUGGGGAAUAUUGGACAAUGGGCGCAAGCCUGAUCCAGCCAUGCCGCGUGAGUGAUGACGGCCUUAGGGUUGUAAAGCUCUUUUACCUGGGAAGAUAAUGACGGUACCAGGAGAAUAAGCCCCGGCUAACUUCGUGCCAGCAGCCGCCGUAACAC